GAAGAUAAUCGAACAGUUCCUCAUAUAAAUCCGGGAAUAAGGCCCGGGAGUCUCUACCUGCUGACCGUAAAUCAGCGGACUAUGAGGGGUAAACGAAUGUAA
rnacentral:ncRNA from 2 species